AGGACGAGCGCUGGCGGCGUGCUUAACACAUGCAAGUCGAGCGGAAAGGCCCUUCGGGGUACUCGAGCGGCGAACGGGUGAGUAACACGUGAGUAAUCUGCCCCUAGCUCUGGGAUAGCUCCGGGAAAACCGGGAUUAAUACCAGAUACGACCACUUUAGACAUCUGCUGUGGUGGAAAGAAUUUCGGCUAGGGAUGAGCUCGCGGCCUAUCAGCUUGUUGGUGAGGUAACGGCUCACCAAAGGCGACGACGGGUA
rnacentral:rRNA from 1 species